rnacentral:rRNA from 1 species
UUGAUCCUUGAAAUUAAUCUACCAGUACAAAAGCUGGAAUAAAAACAUAAGACGAAAAGACCCUAUGGAACUUUAAGUAUAUUUUAAUUAGUAUAAAAUAAGAACUUUUAGUUGGGGCAACUCUGGAAAUAAAAAAAACUUCCAAAUAAACCUAUGAUCAACGUAUCUUUUGAAACAUGACCCAGUCUUACUGAAUAAAGAACCAAGCUACCCUAGGGAUAACAGCGCCAUCCCCUCCAAGAGCCCAAAUCGACGAGUGGGGUUUACGACCUCGAUGUUGGAUCAGGACACCCAAACAGUGCAACAGCUGUUAAAGGUUUGUUUGUUCAACAAUUAAAGU